rnacentral:rRNA from 1 species
UACGGUGGGGGCAAGCGUUGUUCGGAAUUACUGGGCGUAAAGGGCUCGUAGGCGGCCAACUAAGUCAGACGUGAAAUCCCUCGGCUUAACCGGGGAACUGCAUCUGAUACUGGAUGGCUUGAGUUCGGGAGAGGGAUGCGGAAUUCCAGGUGUAGCGGUGAAAUGCGUAGAUAUCUGGAGGAAUACCGGUGGCGAAGGCGGCAUCCUGGACCGAGAUUGACACUGAUGAGCGAAAGCCAGGGGAGCAAACGGG